AGCGCUUUAUACGAAUUGUUGACAUGCUACUGAAAACGUGUGAAAAACGGAUGAAGUUGUCAGAUUUAAUCUGAUUUUAUGAGCUACAGUGCGGUAUAAUGUGCAGUAGUAGUGCUUUAAUGGACUAGAUAGAUUAUUCUGACCGACCCGCUGUGAUACAGCUCAUUUCCGGGUAUUAAAAACCGGACGAACAUUAGCAAACUAACGUUAGCUUAGCUGCAUUUAGAUACAUCCAGCAACUAUGACACUCAAGAUGAACAAAGAAUCAGCUGUUCUUCAGGGUGCUUUCUUCCUGGCUGAUAAACUGUGUCACCCCUCAUCCCUGUCCUCGCUUCAGAAAGCUGACUGGAGCAGGGUGGGACAUCCAGUCCUGGAGGCAGUCAGAGAAAUCUGCGGACAGGAUGAACUCCCAGGUCAUCUCCCCACAACGUCUCUCAGCUGGAUAAAGAAACUAGUUUGUGCUGUGUGGCUGAAGGUGUUGUCCAGGGAGAGUGGAGAGGACGUAGAGAUGGCCUGGAGGGAGAACCCUUUCUUCCCCCUCCAGAACGGCCUCCCUGAGGUCAACCGUGUUGUCCUGCUGGAAAUGGUUAAGUCGUUGGCAGCUGCUCAGAUAUAUGCACAUCUACUCUUGUAUCUUCCUGGAUCUCAGAUCUGUGCUGAGCUCGAACUGUUUGUGCAGCACGUGAGGAGCAGCCCUACCAAAGAGGACGAUGUUCGACUUUUUCUGGAGGUGUGGUGGGAACUGUGGAAAGGCAAAGAUGAGACUGAAGCAGGAGGAGAGGACAGCGUAGAGACGAUGUUUUCCAGACAGUUUGCUCAUCUCUCAUCUAAGUGUUCCAGUCUGUCCCCUCAGGCCGCCAAGAGGCCAAAGCUUGAUGCAUCAGAUCUACCAGCGUCCUCACCAACCACUGAUGUCCUGCACAUUCUCUUUAAUGCACUUAAAGACAUGAAAGAUCACAUAUCUACAACAGACCUUUGCCUCCAGGCCCUCUCCACUUCUCUGGAUGCUCUUUAUACAGCCUUCCUAAUAGACCAAGCAGUCGUACUUCCAACCAAAGAGAAGAUGCACAUCUUGUCUAAAGUUGUGAGCAUCAGAGAAAAGAAUGAUGAGAAACUGAGUCCUGAUCUCAUCCGGGAGGCGCAGCGAGACCUACGUGCAUCUUACACACCAUCUCAGUUUCAGUGCAGCAGGAUGAAGCUGGGUGAAGCCCUGAAGAUUAUAACAGAACUUGCUCAGUUUUGGCAAAACAGCGGGCUCCUGAAAGUGUGUGAUGGCUCUGAUCCGAGUUACUCAGUGUUUAAACUGGAACAAAGUGUACAGAGAGUCCUGACAGCUCUACUGAAAGCACAAGUGUCUGAAACAAUGACUGAAAUCGAUGAUGGAGAGACUGAGAAGAACGCACUCAGAGGUUUGCUGGCGUCACUGGCUUUCCCUGCCACAGAGAGCACCCCUGAGGUGAACACGAGGGUCACCACGUUCAUCAUCAAUCACCGCCUGGAGGACUAUCAGAACUUUGCGGUGUUAUUUGCCAGUGAGAAGAGUUGGGCUGCCUGUGAUGAGCUCUGGAUGGACUGCCUGGAAAAGAACCAAGCAGCCUUCCAGCAGCACGACACACUGAUCAAACUCACCUCCACCCUCAUGAGUAAACUCCACAGUGAGAGAGCUGAUGUGAGCCAGUGCAGGAAGCUGAUGAAAGUCAUCACAGACAUUUUCUCUGCACUUUCCUUGGAAGAGAAGAACAAAGCAUUGGCUGCCAUGUUGAGACUGUCCAGCAGGGGGUUCUUUGGGCGCCCUGUCCCCUCUGCAGUGACUAGUGGGUUUGAGCAGGAGCUCAACAUGGCCUUCAACUGCAUCAUCCAAGGAGGUGGCGCAGCGUCAGCGGUGGCAUCGCAGGGCAAUCUGAACACAGCAGUCUCUUUAGUGGCCAGAGUUGUGUUUCAGAACCCGGAAGCGGCUGUAAGGUCCUGUUGUCAUUCAGCUGUUUUCAAUAAAGGUGCUUUCUCUCUGAUGGCGAAGAUCCUACAGCAGCUGCCUGGACUCAGAGGACAGAGGGAAGGAAAAGAUGAAGCUCAGAGUGAUGAAGACGGAGAGGACGUGCUGAGUGGAAGCGCUCUGCUCUGCAGGUGUCUGCAGGAGAUGAUUAAGACCAAAUCACUGUCUGCCAAUGAAAAAGAUCAGUUCCUCCAGUAUCUCGGUCUGCUGAUGGCGCCUGUCAUGACAGCUGAAGGAGAGGAAGACAAGAAGCAAAGCUUUCUGACACCUCAGGAGGUCGUGAACAUCUUCGUCCUGCCUAACCUUUCCACUGCCAGUCGUCAAAGCUCCUUUGAUAUAGAACUGAGUCUGCAGCUUCUCCACACUGCUUUGUCUGUGGACGUCCAGGAACCAGCCUCAUCUCCUCACUGGGUGUUGGACUGCUCUCCCUUUCCUCUUCUCUACAUCCUGGCCCAGCUGCUCAACCAGACUCUCAGGUGUUGGGAGCAGCCACCAAAGGGCAGCCUCCACCACUGGUCUAUGGACACCAAGGAGCUGCUGGUGUCGGUGCUGACCACACUGGGGCAGGUGUUGGGUGCAGAGGUGGCAGCGGCCCCCAGCAGCUGGUCCAGAGCUCUGUUCUGGCUCUACAACAAAAUGGAGGAACUGGACUGGACCGUUCAUUUCCACCUGAAGCCUGUUUGGGGGGAACACUUUAAAAACGAGGUCCCCUCCUCUCUGCUGACUGUGUGUGAUCUACCUGAGCAGGAGUGGUCCGGCUUGGACCUGCCUCAGUAUGGCCAGGGGACAGGUCUGUUGGCCUGGAUGGAGUGUUGCUCUACAUCAGACUUUCUCCAGUCCACCAUGUUGUCCCGUCUCUCUCUGGACCAGCGUCGGCCCGACCAUGUUGGCAUGUUCAGCAAAGGCCUGCUGGUGGCUGUGACCCAGACCCUGCCCUGGUGCUCCGUGUCCCAGUGGACCAGACUGCUCAGAGUCCUGAGGGAGCUCAUCACCUCAGGCCGCCUGCACAUUCCCUUCUCACUGGAGUACGUGGACUACCUGCCCCUCCUGGACCUGAGGAGGUUUUCAUGUGAGCUCCGCCUGUCUGUCUUCCUGCUGCGAGUCUUCCAGCUGCUCUGCGGCUCCAGCUGCUCUGACUGGUUGUCAGUGGACGGCUGGGCGCACGUUGGCAGGUUGUACGCUCAUGCUGUGAGGGAGAUGAUGAACUCCAUCAGAGCCAAGCUGCCGCUUCCUUCGUCUGGUGCUCUGACUGUCUCUGCUUCUCCUAAAACACCAGCGUCUAGAGACUCCAAUCCGUCCUGCACUUCAAUCAAAGCUCUUAAAACGUCCAAAGACACUCAACAAGCAGAAGGCUGUCCUCAUAAAUCCAAAGAGUCUACUCAACAAGCAGAAGGCUGUCCUCAUAAAUCCAAAGAGUCUCAAAUGGAGGACGAGGUGGAGACAGUUCCCAGCCAAGAAGUCCUUUUUGUGCUCAGCCAGCUCUUCUGCCACGUUCAGCACAUCCAGGUGAUGAUGCCAGGAGGCCAGAGUGAACCCUUGUUCCUGUCCAGUCUGGAGAUCCUCAGCCACUAUGAGGCCAUCAUGGCCGCUUUCCCACACAGCAGCAGCGCGCUGGAGAGCGACAACACCCGUCACUUCUUCUCCACCAUCACAGACAACCUGGAGAACCAGGAGAUGAAGGCCGCCCUGCAGCAGAAGAUCGCUCAGCUUGUGUCGUCUGCUGCUUGAGACUGUAGACUGUAUUAAUAAUGGACAUAGCUACCGUGAUGUCACACAUUGGUUUGCAGCCAUUUUGAAGCCUUGAGUUCUGCAUUUUGGUGGUCGCCAUCUUGGUUUUUUGGAGCCAGAAGUGACCAUAUUUGGGUGAGAGGCUGGAGCUGUGGAGGAGUGAGGGGUGGAGCUCACUGAGAGACUGAAGACACAAUCGGCAGACAGCCUGUCACUCAACCCUAACGUAACUUUGGGCCUUACUUCUGCUGUAAAGUUGGACAUUCUAACACAGGGGUUGAGUCUGUUUUGGAGCCAGCCUCAAGUGGCCGUUCAAUGAACUUGAGUUUUUGGCACUUAUGUUUGGUUUCAUUUUUCAGUCUCAGAGGUCGCCGCUUGAUUAAGACACACAGUUUUUUUUUAUCUGUAUUCACUUAAGAGCUUUGGUUCUCAAAUGCUCAAAUUCUCUCUGUAGAUAUUACGCUAAUUUGCUGAUAAAAUAAGGAUAUUGUUUCUGUUGUCAGUGUCAUAGACUGCAUGAAGAUACUUAAAGAAGUAAUUACAAAAUGGUGGGUGAAUAAAAGGCAGAUAUUUCACAGCAGAUGACCUCCUGUGCUGCUUCAGUAAUAUUCAUUUAUACUCUGAAACCAAAGCCGAACAUCUGUUUCAUCAACAGGAUGCGGUGACUCAGACAGUAUGUUUUCUACAGAACAUUAUCAACAUGUAAUUUUUAAGUUCUUUUUAUUUGUACAAAAAUAUUCUCUGCAUUGCACCAUUUAGUAAAGCUUUAACAACGUACUACAACAGCUGUAACACAACAUUUAAAACAGUUUUGUGACAUUGUAACAGGGGACAAACAAAAUGUAUAGUUAAAGGUGCAGUGUGUAGGAUUUAAGGGAGAUGUUCUUUAGUGUAUAAUCACCUGAAAAUAAGAAUCGUUGUGUUUUUGUUACCUUAGAAUGAGCCGUUUAUAUCUACAUUGGGAGCAGGUCUUUGAUUUAUAGAGAUCACCAUGUUGCACUGCCAUGUUUCUGCAGUAGCCCAGAACGGACAAACAAACACUGGCUCCACAGAGGGCCAUUUGUGUUUUCAUGUCAGCCACUGUAGUAAGAAGCCCAACUGCAGUGAGCAGCACCAAAGUUCCACUGAUUUGUAACAUGAAACUGCUUUAUUCAGUGUUUCUGGUGGUUUAAAUCACCUGGUCUGUUUGUUUUGGAGAAGAAGAGACCUCUGUGGAUAAUUCAGCUCCUGAUAAAAACCUCCUGAACAAUGAACACUGAAGGAAUCCUAACCAGGAGAAGUUUCAGCUGGUUGCAAUCUGUAAUUCUCCGCUAGACGCCACCAAAUCCCCCUAAAUCUCACACACUUCACCUUUUAAAAAAAGCUUCAUAAUAAUGUAGUGCAAAACAAACACUUAACGUCUCUGUAUGAUGAGAUAUUAGGACCACAGUCAGGAGAAAAUAUCUUAGAUUCUGAGAAUACAGUCAAAAAUCUGAAGAAAAGUCUAAAUAUUUUGGGAUAAAGCAGUCAUAAUAAUCUGAAUAUGAAGUUAAAUGUUUGUCGGUGAAAAGUCAAAUAUCGAGGAAAAAAAAGGGGUUCGUAUAUAUGUCAUUUUUUAAGGGGAAAAAGUUGAAAAAGUCACACAAAGAAAAGUCAUAAUGUUUGAGGGGAAAUCAUAAUUGGUAACAAAAAAUAUUGAAAUUUAUGACCAAAAAAAAAACUCCCAAUAAAAAACAAUAUUUUAACAAAAAAAACAAGAAGAGAGAAAAAUACUUGACUCUUGUAUAAUGACUCAAUUUUUUUUUUUUUUU